ACGGUUAUAAAUCAACAUAUUGAUUUAUAAGCAUGGAAAACCCCUGAGUGAAACAACGAAUUGCUGUGUGUAGUCUUUGCCCAUCUCCCACGAUGGGCUUUUUUUUAA
rnacentral:other from 1 species